rnacentral:rRNA from 1 species
CACACGACUCUCGGCAACGGAUAUCUCGGCUCUCGCAUCGAUGAAGAACGUAGCGAAAUGCGAUACCUGGUGUGAAUUGCAGAAUCCCGCGAACCAUCGAGUCUUUGAACGCAAGUUGCGCCCGAGGCCACUCGGCCGAGGACACGCCUGCCUGGGCGUCACGC